GACGAACGCUGGCGGCGUGCUUAACACAUGCAAGUCGAACGGAAAGGCCCUGCUUGCCGGGUACUCGAGUGGCGAACGGGUGAGUAACACGUGGGUGAUCUGCCCUGCACUUCGGGAUAAGCCUGGGAAACUGGGUCUAAUACCGGAUAGGAGCCAUUUUUAGUGUGAUGGUUGGAAAGUUUUUUCGGUGUAGGAUGAGCUCGCGGCCUAUCAGCUUGUUGGUGGGGUAAUGGCCUACCAAGGCGGCGACGGGUAGCCGGCCUGAGAGGGUGGACGGCCACAUUGGGACUGAGAUACGGCCCAGACUCCUACGGGAGGCAGCAGUGGGGAAUAUUGCACAAUGGGCGCAAGCCUGAUGCAGCGACGUCGCGUGGGGGAUGACGGCCUUCGGGUUGUAAACUCCUUUCGCUAGGGACGAAGCUUUUUGUGACGGUACCUAGAGAAGAAGCACCGGCUAACUACGUG
rnacentral:rRNA from 1 species